ensembl:lncRNA
GUCUGUGAGAGGCAGUCACCAUCGAAGGCAGUUGCCUUCGCCAGGGUUCUCUCUGGUUUUCACCUCCAGCCGAGGAGGCUGCUUGGAGCGCCCCCUGCUGCCGCUGCCGCGCGUUGAGUACCUGCUGGCGGGAAGACGGGCCUCCUGGGGGCCUGUUCCGGAGGCUUGUUCUCUCUAGGCUCCUUUUAAACAAUUCCUCAGCUGCUGAGACUUGCCCUCGCCUGACUGGGAGCACAGAACUGGCUCUCCCAAGACCGUCCUUCUCCUCUUUCACCUUGGCCUCACCCCAAAUGCCUUUCCUCUGCCAGCUGGAGAGGAGUGGCUUAACUCUUUAUUACCGAUCAACCAUGAGCUCCCAGAUACCUCAGAAUUAUCCCACUGAGACGGAGUUGUCUUCAGCCGCCUGGUCAACAGGGAUCUGCGGGCCUCCUACACCUAUCUCUCUCUGGGCUUGUAUUUCCACCAUGAAGGAUAUGGCUCUGGAGAACUUGGAACACUGUUUUAUGGAAAUUGGCUGAGGAGAAGCACGAGCGUGAACCUCUCUUGAAAAUGCAAAACCAGCGGCAGUAGCCACUUGCUGGAGUUGGGUAAAACCCAGGACUCUGUGGAAGCCGCCAUUCUGAUUGUCCGCGCAGACUCCCACCUCUGUGA